CUCAGUGGUUGGUGCAGACCUGCCUAAGUGACGGCAGGAUCUGUAUUGCAUUGGGCUCCGGGAUCUGGGUGAUCGCUGCUGUGCGGUGUUCGGGACUGUGCCCAAAGCCGGGUUACUGGCACUUUGAGCCGCCUGAUCGUUUCGAUGUCUGUGGCGGUGAUGAGGAGGGAUUGUGCCGGAUCGUACCGAGAGCUUUCAGAUGUUGGAACAGAGGACAGCACUUGCAAUUCUGACCUCAGGAAUGAAACUGAUACUGAGCAAGAUGAUUUAAAUAGAACAGUAAUACGAGAUGAUGAAGCUGGCUCCACAAGUCUUUCCUCCAUCUUUGGUAAAGCCUGUCUGAAGAACACCUUUUCUGUGAUUCUUAUCCUUAUCUACCUGCUCUUGAUGUCUGUGGCAGUAUUCCUGGCCUAUCAGACCAUCACAGAUUUCAGGGAGAAGCUGAAACAUCCUGUUAUGUCAGUGUCCUUUCAGGAAGUUCUGAAAUACGAUGCUCCUGGAAUAGCACUGUAUCCUGGUGAGGCUGAACUCUUGAGCUGUAAGCACCAUUAUCAUGAUCAUGUUGAAUUUAUGGCAAAUCCAGGUCAACGAGGAGAAAUAGCCUGUACUAAGGAAUAUGUCAGUUACACAGACCCAUACAGAAACAACACACUGAAGUCAGCCCUGAUUAUCAGUGGACCUCAAGAUGUGAGAAAGAAGGAGCUCGUGUUCCUGCAGUUCCACUUAAAUGAAACCAAAGAAGAUUUUAGUGCAAUCGACUAUCUCUUAUUUUCAUCCUUCAAAGAGCUUCAGGAGAGUUCUGAUAAAGCACAAUUCAUGCAGGACUGUGAACGUUCUUAUUCUAUGUGGACAUUUUCUGGAGGGUUUCGAACUUGGGUCAAAAUGUCUCUGGUGAAAACGACGGAGGAAGAUGGAAGUGAGUCAGUGGAAUUCAGACAAGAGUCUACUCUGGUGCGAUAUAAUGACCACCGGCCUGUUUCUGAACAUACUGACCAAUUGUUCUUUGCCGUAUUUGAGUGGAAGGAUCCUUUCAUUCAGGAAGUCCGUGAUAUAAUCACAGCCAAUCCAUGGAACACAAUCGCUAUCCUCUGUGGUGUCUUCUUGGCUUUGUUCAAGGCAGCAGAAUUUGCAAAGUUGAGUGUGAAGUGGAUGAUCAAAAUUAGAAAGAGGCAAAAAAAGCACAAGGCCCAGGAAUUGAACCAAAUGACUUAAACCAAGAUCUUUGAAGGGCUGUAGUUCUGAUCUUCAAAUUCACUCCUUGUCAACAGGGUGUGGAACUAUGUGUUCGAGGUUACUGAAGACUACGCCAUUCUUAUUUCAUUUGUGAUAGGUAUAAACCUUUGAAAAGACACAUUAUAUGGCCACGGCUGUCAGUAUUAACAAGAAACGUUACAGCUGGAUUAGAAUCAUUAGAAACUUCAGUCUCGAGCAGUUUGAUUACCUUUAUUCUCGGUUUGUUACUGAGAUAUUAGAAAGACUUAAAAGAAAGCUAUUUAACAAGAUAAUACUAUCUCUGACAGCAGAGUUACUUUCUAAUUCUGUCAGUUUUAAGAUUGUGGCUCACUGUGGCUGAUAUAGUCAUGUAAGGCAUACAUUCCACAUGUUCUUGGUGAUUCACAGAAGAGGUUUACAAUUCAGUUCAGUAUGUGGUAUUUAUACAACUGUUGUCCUAGUUAUUGUUGCUUGAUCAGUGAUUGAUUUCAGUAUCGUGGUUGUUUAUGACACGCAGCCUGAGGGCAGCGUGAAGCACCUGGAAGCAUAAUGGUCCUGGUAACGGUGUUUUUGUUUUUCAAAAUGUGUUCAGUUACUAAAUUAAUGUUUUCAGUGCCGCUGUACUCCCUGUACUUGUGGUACUGUUGUUUGUAGAAAAUAGGUUUUUCAAUUAUCUUCAAUUACUUUUUGUGUUGUGCUGUAAAUUGGGUUUAAUCCAAAUCACUGCCAACUUUAACUAAAUAGAGCAUCUAACCAUCACUUCAGUGAGCCAUUUGCUCAUUGUUAUCAAAUAAUUUGAUAACAAAAAUAUCACUGCUAUGUCUACUUGAGGAAUCAGUAUGACUGCUUUAAGUGAUUACUAAAAAGGGUGGUGUGCUCUUUGGUGAAAGGUGUAAUAUGGUGUUUCUACUGUAGGUGGCACUAGAACAGUUGAACUCUUUAAUGUUGUAUCCAAGACCAGAAGGGAGAUUCCACCUGUAAUAAGUUCAAUCUUAUAUAGUUUAUAUUACGUGAGAUUUGUAUUUGUAUUCUUCAUAGCCGCAUAUAGUACAUUCAUGCAGGUUUUCUAUGGAUACUUAAUGAAUAACAUAUUAUAAAAUUAUUCACAUUUCUUAUUUUCAAGCAUAUUCUGCAUUUUGGAAAUGGCACCCUGAAUUUUAAAUGUGCUUUAAUGGGAUAUAUUUUAGCUUGGAUCUCAGAGUGCUGUGAGUAGUAGAGAGGGCUUGUAAUCAUCUCUAAUGCACUGGUCAAUAUUGAACUUGAAAGUAUUGCAGUUAGUGUUCAUUGUUGUACAGAUACAGAAAAGUUUUAGUUAUUAACUUGAAUUUUGAUAAAAUAAUUUAUUUAGUGGAUUGUUUCUCUGUGUGAGGUAAGUCUUUAUGAAAGAUGUGCUGUCAAAUCGAAACUUGUCAUGUAAGUUAGAGAUGCACUUCAGUCAUAAGUAUAGGUAGAUGGUCAAAAUUACCAAGGUAAAUGGCUGCAAUAAUAAUCUAUAGAGUCUAUAAACACUGUAGAGAAGAUGUAAGGAAGUGUACCAUGACAUUAUUUGAAGGGCCAACCUCGAAUGUCAUUGGCAAAGACCUGGGAACCGGUCUUCGAACCUCUUACCUAGGAAUAGUGCGUGACUCUGGAACUGCAGGUGAAAAGAUUAACUUGUAUUGAAUGGUCAGCCUGCUGCUGCAUGGAGGCAGAGAAGGAAGGUGUCUAAGCCUGCUUGGAAUGGUGUCUCCACUCCACCAAGUACUCCCAAGCGAUUGCUACUAGGCAAGUAAGCUAAUCCACCCCCCAGAAACCACCGCAACCAUCUCUGAAAACAUGGGACCAACUGGAAAAUCACAGGAGUCAAACAGUUACGCUGCUAUUCAUUCCUUUCCUAACUCCCAACCUACCUUCUGGAAACUAGGAGUAGAAUAGAACAAGGAACUGGCACUUCCAGCUGCUGAUAUGAACUUACAACUCCCAUCUCUCUGCAUUUCCAGUCAUGGAAGUGACUUCAAAUCCUUCACUGUUUGUCUCAGUCUUGGCUCAGGAAAUUUGCAGUUGUUCUGAAGAAGAUUCCACAAUUGCCCUGUAUGGGUUGCUCGUUGAAGUGAAUUCUAAUUGCUGCUACUUGCAGUUCAAGACCUCACAGUAAGUCAAGGGGCAAAUGUAAAUGUGAUUACUUCCUGCCUUUGUUUGCUACUGACCACAAAGUGCUUAAGGCAAUAAGUCAUGAAGUAAAUGAGAAAGCACUCAAUAUUUUUCAGUAUUCAACAUUUUCUUCUCAUUUGAAAUUUUGUUUUGCAAAGAAUGUGAUUGUGACAUUGAACCUAAACUCCUUAAAAUAGAUUGUUGUUCUUCUGUAGUUUUUUAUAAAUAAGGACCUUGAAAAUCCACAGGUCUGUGACCCCAGCAUACACUCUCAGAACCUCCACCGAAGACCACAUCUGACCUUCUUGGAUUGGGUGAGAAUUUCACAUUUUAAACAAUCCUUGUAGGCAUGCUUAGUAACUUUUAGUUAUCUCUGACACCUACUCUUGUAUAAGGGUGUAAGAGUCUGAAAGAAUUAAUACUGAGGAGUGCCUUAAACACCAUCCACUAUGAUAAUUCAUUCUGACUUGGUGUGACAACAGUUUACAGCAGUCAUUGUAACAGCUCUGUGACAAUGUCUAUCAUAGCAGUGUAACGUGUUAUCCUGUAAAAAAAACUACAUCAUGUUUAACACAAGCGCCUCUUCUCAUUAUACUAGUAAAUGGUUUUGCAUUUAUCACACCAGACCCAAUGAACUCAAUGGAUCCCUAUCCUACCAGAGGAUGGUGGCAACAGCAAGCCUACCCCAAGCUAAAAAGUUUUUGUAGCACAGUGGCACAUCCUUACCUCAGUCAAAAGCUCCAGGUGUGAGUCCCACUAUAGGAUCUGUUGCCAAGGAAUGUGCAUUCAUAAUGUAGCUAAACAGACUGAUGCAUCAAGCUGCAAAUCCCUCUACAUGUGUUAAUGGAGAAGACAGCUAACAAGAGGACAGAUAGGGCCUGGAAGGAUGGAGGGGUACCUGACAUCGGAAUCUUCACCCUGCACAAGGAGAGAAACCAUCCCUCGCAGGAGAAGACCAGAACUACUGCUGUGGAGUUGCCAAGCGAUUCACGUCUCAUCAUUAUUGGCGGUCCUUCACAGAUAAGAGUGACUCUCUUCCACUUGCAGGGCGAGUCUGUCGGUGGCUUUACAGAACAAUGUGGCUGCUGUAAACUCUUAUACUCGGGGCAGAAUUGGUUGUGGGAAGAGGUGGGUGGGGCAUGCUGUUUUCACCUGGCUUCCGCAUUUUCCUGACAGUAAGUCUCAAGGUGCUCAAUGCCUUCUCGGAUGCUCCUCCUUCACUUUGGGUGGUCUUGGGCAGUGAUUCCCAGAUAUCGAUGGGAAUGCCGCACUUCACCAAUGAGGCCUUGAGGAUAUCAUUGAUGCGCAUCCUCUGUCCACCUGGCUACCAUUGUAUACCAUUUGUAACUACUGGCACUGACAUCUUCUCUCCCUUUUGUGUUAGCGGUAUCGCUAGGAUUGCAGGAUGUUCAUAAACCUUGCAGAGAAGCAGCAUAUUAUAUCAGAAGCCAACUACAAUAAGGCUGAGUAUAGAGGCUUCAGGUUGAAGCAUAGGCUUCCUGCAUCCUUUACCUGCUCAGAUACUGACAGUACAACGGGGAUAUCAGCCUUACAGUUUUGACAGCAGAAUCUAGUGAGCACGUCCGUGCUUCGGCUGUGGAGCUAGUAGAGGAAUAAAUGACCAGGCCACUGGCAUUUAGAGAGCUGUUGGAGUUUAAACAUAUGCUCAGCCUCAGGCAGCAGUGUCAGUAAUCAGGAACUUCAUCCACAUGUACAUAGAAGAACAGGACUGGAACUUUGAUGACAUAGGUGACAGUGCACUGUAUUGGAAGUACCAUGUUUGUACAGAUCUGAUUGUUUUUGCACUACAUCCAUUUGUUCAACUCUGCAUAGCUCUGAAUGUAACUGUGCCACCAUGAUGCCUAGCUUCAUGUCCAUACAAGAUACACCAUGCAUUGAGUAUUUAGAGCUUUACUGUUGCAUGUGGAAGAUAAACAAAGACUUAUAUGCUUUGGGAUAUGCUGAAACUAUUGUCCUUGAUGCUCAAGCAUCUUUAAUCUUUCCCUAGCAUCUAUAUCAAAAAGUGUCAGAGUGAAUGAAGUGUACGGCAGUAUGUGGACCUCAACAAACAGCCAAGGCUUUAUGAUUCCCCGGGGAUGAGGGAUCCACAGGUCUGUGUUCUGUACUGUGUAGUUGUAUGGAAUUUUGUUUCCUCUUUAAAGGCCAAACAUAGUGGUGGGAAUUGCAUGCCCCUCCUUCACAAGUCAAGUCACUUAUUCUGUCCACUCAGUGUGAUCUCAGCCAUUGUCUUUCCCAUUAUGUACAAUUGAAGAUGACAGUGUGUGCUCAUCAGCCAGUGGAUUCCAGCCUCUGCCUGUAAGUGUAGACCUAAAUCCAAAUGGCCCUGUGAGCUCUCUGGACUUUGCAUAUGCCCAGAUCCCCACUUGUCUGAAUGAGCCUUCACCUGCUAACCUUUUCCCCAACAACCCUGGCAUGAGGUAACUGAGGAGAAAGUGAGGACUGCAGAUGCUGGAGAUCAGAGCUGAAAAUGUGUUGCUGGAAAAGUGCAGCAGGUCAGGCAGCAUCCAAGGUAACUGAACCAAAUGUGGUCACCCUGUCCUGCCCCGAAAUCAAGUUGCUCCUGAUUGUGGACAAGCCCUCCAACUUGCAUUACCUUAUUCCCAUCCAUGCUUUACCAUUUCCACUUACAAAUACUGUGGCACUACCUCAAAAUGGUGAUUCCCUUUCUGCAGCCCCCACCGCCAUUACUCCCCAGACUGCCCUCUGUGGAACCUGUUGGCUUGCUGUCCAUGCAGUGGAUUUUCCAUCCACUUGCAGGCUAUUUAGGAAGCAAAGACCCACAUUACAAGCUGCAGCAGUAUUGCAUCCAGGUAUAGGCUGCACCUCAGGGCUGCUCACUUAGCUUCCCUGCCUUGCCUUUCAUUGCUAUACCAAAUCAUGCAGCCUGAUCCUGGAUGCAAUACAGCAGCAUUGCAACUUGCUGGGAGGGGUUGGCCAUAUUGGAUUCCAACAUCAGUGGACAGAUUGUGCUGCGAGAUAUUAUUCUGUGCUGAGUAACUUAAAGGCUAGUCGCAGCCAACAGAAGGCACCAGGUGCCUGUACUGACUUCCACGACAAGAAUUCUCAAUGGUUAGUUUGUUCACAUAGUUGGUAAGAGAAAUAUGAAUAUUAUUAAUAUCUCAAAUCACCUCAUUAAAGUUUUGAACAACCUAUAAAUCCCCAAGCAAGUUGAUCAGGACAUUGAAACUUUUUGCAUAAUUCUAUCACAUCCCUAUAAGAUUCUGUUCAUGCCAAUUACUGAAAAUAAUGCUGGUCUUAUUGUAGAGAAAAUGUUACCUCAUGUCAUGUAAUAAGAAUCUGAUACAUAAAAAUUAUCAAGGAUCAGAACCAAUAUGAGGGGGAGUUUAAUAUCAUUCAACGAAUCCCACAUCUGAAAGUUAUGCCACUAAGGGGCAGCAUAAAAGCCUUCAUAGAAUACAGAUGUGAUUAUACAAGGAAAGAAAGUAACAUUGCUGAAGAUGUGUUGACUGCAUUCAAGCAUGAUAUAAAGGCUACAGAUAUUUUAAUUUGGAAAUAUAAAUUGGAAAAAAACACAAGUUUCACUGUUUUGUUGCAGAGAAUUAAUCAGUUGUGCUUUUUGUUUUGUAACUCAAAGGAGAUCUGUUACACAAAGACAUCUAAUUUUUAAAGAAAGCAAAUUCCAUCACUUUUGCACUGCUACCAGUUACUUUGAAAGCAAAGUAACUUGUGCCAGUACAAGUGUGUUUGGAUUAGUUAAAGUACAGUUUAUCACAUAACUGAGGAACAAGUAGAUCUCAGACCUCCAAAAAGCCUUUAAAGUAAGCCGGAUCUUUCUUUGAAAAUGAAGUAACAUUGAAAGAUCGUACAAAAAAAAAUGAGAAUUUUGAAAUUAAACCCAAGACUUCAAUAUUCUGAACGAGGAUCACUGGACUCAAUGUGAACUCUGUUUUCUCUCCACAGAUUUUGCCAGAUCUGCAGAGUUUCUCCAGUAAUUUCUGUUUUUGUAUACUUCAACUGACUGGCUACCAAAUUAAGGAUUGCCACGAUCCAUAAUGUGAUUUCAGGAAAACACUGGGAAGACAGUUCAGUGGUCUUUGGCUACAAGGGUUGCACAAAAACACAACUAUCACUUCAUGGAAGAACUACCUGCAUAAUAAAAACAUGUUGGAGAAAACUCAGCAGUCUGAC